rnacentral:rRNA from 1 species
CAAUAAGCGGAGGAAAAGAAACCAACAGGGAUUUCCUUAGUAACGGCGAGCGAAAAGGGAUGCGCCCAGCAUGUGAAUCUCCAGCCUUAGGCUGGCGAAUUGUAGUCUGGAGUAGCGGCUCUUGGAAACCGGCGCGCCAAAGCAUCUUGGAAUAGAUCGCCGCAGAGGGUGAGAGCCCCGUAGGCGCGGCGGGAUCCUUUACGGAGCGCUCACGCAGAGUCGGGUUGUUUGGGAAUGCAGCCCCAAUUGGGUGGUAAACCCCAUCUAAGGCUAAAUACCUGUGGGAGACCGAUAGCAAAAAAGUACCUCGAGGGAACGAUGAAAAGACCGCUGGCAAGCGAGUGAAAGAGUGCAUGAAAUUGUACAGUGGGAAGGGAUGGGCUUGCGUGCUGCCCCCGGGUAUACACCGCUCGCGGAGCUCUUGAAUACACCGGGGGCUGGCUGGUGCCGACACCCGGGCUCGCAAACCCCCAAGCUUUGGUGUUUGGCUGUUCGAGCGCGGGUGUUGAGGUUGAUCGUGGCUCCGUUCUUCGGAAACUGCCUCGACGUACCACCANCUGNANCAUGUCC